ensembl:ncRNA Y116F11A.7 ncRNA
CCUAUGCCUAUGCUUGUGCCUAGGCCUAUGCCUAAGCCUAAGCCUAAGCCUGAG